UAAACUGAANGAAUUUGGCGGUGUAAAAUUUUACUGGAGGAAUAUGUUCUAUAAUUGAAAUUACACAUUAAACCUUACUUAUUUACCAAGUUUAUAUACCGCUGUUGGUAAUUUAAUUUGGAGAUUGGUGUYYAAAUUCAUAUUGGUGUAUMAAGAUUCAAGUCCAGGUUUAGCCUAUARRUAAGUAGAAAUGUAUUACAUUUAAUUAAGUWAUUACGGAUUUUUAUUUUAACAUGUAGGAUGAAGGUGGAUUCAGUAGUAAGUAUAUUGWAUUGUAUA
rnacentral:rRNA from 1 species